rnacentral:rRNA from 1 species
CCUACGGGUGGCAGCAGUGGGGAAUAUUGGGCAAUGGAGGAAACCCUGACCCAGCAACGCCGCGUGAAGGAUGAAGGUCUUCGGAUUGUAAAGUUCUUUUCUAAGGGAAGAAGAAAGUGACGGUACCCUAGGAAUAAGCCUCGGCUAACUACGUGCCAGCAGCCGCGGUAAUACGUAGGCGGGAAGCGUUAUCCGGAAUUACUGGGCGUAAAGGGUGCGUAGGUGGUUUGACAAGUUAGUAGCGCAACUCCGGAGCUCAACUUCGGAACUACUUCUGAAACUGUUGGACUUGAGUGCAGGAGGGGCAAGCGGAAUUCCUAGGGUAGCGGUGGAAUGCGUAGAUAUUAGGAGGAACACCAGUGGCGAAGGCGGAUUACUGGACUGUAAAUGACACUGAGGCACGAAAGCGUGGGGAGCAAACAGGAUUAGAUACCCUAGUAGUC